UGACUCUCAAUCCUUAACAGUUGGUAAAGAAAAAUCAAUAUAUAAUAAUCGUGGGUAAAUCAUGAAAUUCAAAUCAACAUAUCAACAGAUAUCACUAUUAUAAAAAUUAAAACAAAAUUAUAGAACUGUAUUGAUAACAAGACAAAAAGCAUGCAACAAAAUUGGUUGUGAGAACCAAAAAAACCGUUGACUAAUUGAAAACCGUUUGGUAAAGAUGAUGAUUCAAAAGUUGAACUCCUUUGUUUUCCUUUUUGCUCUCGAUAUUUACUUCUGAUUUUUUCGGUUAACUUAAAUCAUUCAAAUUAGAAUCCAAUCUUUUAUUUUUCUUGUUCAACAAAAAUAUUGAUGACAAAACAAAGCUUAAGCUCAAUAUUUUAUAUCAUCAUCAUUACGCUAAUGAUGAUAGCAGCAAUAUUAUAAAAUUUUGUUUACCAUUUUUUUGCUAAUUUUGUGAUUUUCUUCUAUUUAUUUGUCAACUUUAAGCUCCAUUUUGAAAACAUUAUUUCACCUCUUAAUCGUUAAAGUUUCACCUGAUUUUUCUCUUUUUUUCAUUCCAAUCUGAAUAUACUGAUUUAACUUUCCCACUAUCAAAUCAUCAGACAUCACCUCCAUUCAAAUCAUCGUCAAUAUUUUUACGUUUUUGCACUUUUUCUUCAAUUAUUUUACCACUUAUUGCCAAUUUUUUACCUCAUGUUUGUGUGUGAAUCCAUCUAUCAUUUCUUGUGGUUCAUUCUCAGCAAUUCAACCAGUCUUUAUGUCAAUCAUAACUUUCCAAUCGUGACAACUAUAUUUCAUCUGAAAACGCCAAAUUUUCAUUGUAAAUUUCCUAGACAUUUAGCUUUAUACUCACGCGACUCAGCGAGUCUCUUACCUUCUGAUCAUUCAAAAUGUCGACACUAAACACCUCCAUAUACUUCAUCAACACCAUAACACAAUUUGUUGCAAAUUAAGUGCUAAAAGGCCUUUCACUAAUGAAAAUCAAUUAGUGAAAGCGUAUUAAAACAUUGAUUUGAUUAGAUGGAAAAAAAGUGAAAAUAAUUUGUUUAUGAAUGAAUGUAAAUUUGAGAGAAGUGAAAAAAUUAACCUUACAAGUUUACUUUUUGUAAAAAGGAUUCAGUCAACCAGGUAACCUUAAUCACAAUUAAACAAUACCUGGCUUAAAGAUGAAUGCUAAUGACUGAUAGUGUGUAGGUCUAACAAAAACAACAAAUUAACUUUCCUCAACAUGUCAGUUAACCAUGGGUAUUGAGGGUUGACCACCAAAGAUACAACUCUUUCUGUGAACUACACUUAUUCAUAUUGCAUUCUAAAAGCACUUGUAUUUUGGUAAACAUGAUUUAUUUAAUUUGACGGCCAAUAGUUUUGUAUAUCAUUAAUGGAGAUGUGGUUUUACCGGUUAACAAUUAACUUUCAAUGAACAGUCAACAACAAGCAACUCUUCAACUGAUUGAUUGGUCUCCAUUUAGGCCAUUUGGUUAAAGACAGCAAACUCAAAAUUGACCAACAUAUCGAAACCUUAUACACUUGAAGUCAACAUUGUUCAUCAAGACAAAAAGCUCAAUUGCAAUACGAUGAUGGAGUCGAUUGUUUUGGAAUCGUAUUAAUUGUUCAAUCUUGGUCCCUCGGAAACGGCAACAAAAAAGAGCCACAUCAAACAACCAACUCAAGUCGCAAUCUUUUAUGGUUACUUCCUUACCCAGUUGAAACCUUGAGUUUAUCCUGCUAAUCACUCCUACUUAUACCGAUAAUCAACUAACCAAGAUCCAUUUAAUCACAUCCACCCUCACAAUUAACAUUAUUAAUACAAACCAAAGUCACAAACCUUGUUAAAAUCUCAUCAACUGCAGAGUCAAUCUGUUUUCCCUGUUGGUAUGGCUAACCAAUGUUUACCAUUGGGAUCGCUAUUAAUUUGCAUUUUGAUAGGCAUCUAAUUAAUUCCCUCAACACAGUGAUCAUUAAUACCACAAAUAUGAAUCAUUAUAUUGCUCUAAUCGUACAAAAUAGCCAUAAAUUUUGAUCGAUUUAGCUUGAUCAUUUAUACUCCACAUAACCAUUGGUUACUUUGAACCAUUUUUGUUUUCCUUGCUGAACAAUUCCCACUGCCCUUGAAACUCACUAUAUUGUGAUACAUUAUUGUAAUGUUUAUUAAUAUUGUUUCCAGUUUCCAUGGAAUCAAUGGUUCAACACUGCCACACAAUUAAACUUGAACAAGAUUAAUUGUAAUACCUGAGCGAUGAUUACCGUAUUGAUGCGUAUCGUAGCACCGGGCUUAAUAAUGAGAAUGUUACUCUUAAAGGCACAAUUUUGUGACAAUAGAGGCGCCUUUUAAUAAUAAGCAAUGAUCUUCGCGCAUUUGCAGUGGCUCAAAAGGCGCUUAUAUGAUGGCGUACUUUUUUAUAAGCGCGGCGCCACGAUACGCGUCAAUACGGUAAUUCUUAGGGUUAAAGAUUGCUUUCAACUUGAUCUCUCUUGUUUAAAACCUUGAUUGUGUACAACCUUUCUUUUCCCUUUGCCUUAAAUUAAUUGUUACCACUCAUCCAGAAAUUUGAUUCACCAACAAUCUAAUUGUAAUACAACCUCAACUCUCAUGAUCAUUGGAUUAUUAUCAUUAUCAUCAUCAUUUUUCUCACUCUCUUGUAAACUCUGAAACAAUCUUACAUAUAAGACAGAUCCAGAUUUUUUUGAUUCUUAAACCUCCAUCAUUAAUAUCACUGCCAAGGCAGUAUUAAGCCACAAGGUCUUGGUGAAUUUGUUUGCUGGUGUUGCCUGAUCAAUG